UGGCUCAGAACGAACGCUGGCGGCAAGCUUAACACAUGCAAGUCGAACGGAUUAUCUUUUGUAGCUUGCUAUAAAAGAUAAUUAGUGGCAGACGGGUGAGUAAUGCAUAGGAAUCUACCUAGUAGUAUGGGAUAGCCACUAGAAAUGGUGGGUAAUACUGUAUAAUCCCUGCGGGGGAAAGAUUUAUCGCUAUUAGAUGAGCCUAUGUUAGAUUAGCUAGUUGGUAGGGUAAAGGCCUACCAAGGCGAUGAUCUAUAGCUGGUCUGAGAGGAUGAUCAGCCACACUGGAACUGAGAUACGGUCCAGACUCCUACGGGAGGCAGCAGUGGGGAAUAUUGGACAAUGGGCGCAAGCCUGAUCCAGCUAUGCCGCGUGAGUGAGGAAGGCCUUAGGGUUGUAAAACUCUUUCAGUAGGGAAGAUAAUGACGGUACCUACAGAAGAAGUCCCGGCAAACUCCGUGCCAGCAGCCGCGGUAAUACGGAGGGGGCAAGCGUUGUUCGGAAUUAUUGGGCGUAAAGGGCAUGUAGGCGGUUCGGUAAGUUAAAGGUGAAAUGCCAGGGCUUAACCCUGGAGCUGCUUUUAAUACUGCCAGACUAGAGUCCGGGAGAGGAUAGCGGAAUUCCUA
rnacentral:rRNA from 1 species